CUUUAGCAGUGUCUGGGGUGCGCGGAUGCUGCGCAGAAUAUAUUUGUCAAUGGGUUGGGUCUCACUCCUAGUACCAGGCCUCUUGGAGAGUGGUCUGGAUGUUUCACUCCAUCUUACCGAUGAGGAAACAGGCCUGGAGAGCAGAUGGGCUUCCUCUGAGGUCACAGCCUCCUGACCUCAGAGGUCAGAACUCCGAGAUGAGUUCCCCUUCAUCUCGCUGGCUUCUAUCCCUAGAUCCUGACUCUGAUCUCCAACAUGUCCUCUUCUGCCUUUGGUCCUCAGUUUCCUUGUUUCUAGAAGGAGAAAGUUGGAACAUGAAUUCAACAAAUAUUUACUAGGUACCUGCUAGAAGCCAGGCCCUGUCCUAGGCACUGAAGAUUCAGCAACGAAUAAGACAGCCAAGGCCUCUGCCCUCAUAGAUCUUGCAUCAAGCUGGGGAGACAGACAGUAAAUAAAAAUGGGAUUAUACUAAGUAUCCUAUACUGCUGUAUCACUGAUGCCAGGCCAGCAGCCUGGCAUCACAUGGAGUUGGUUGAAAAGAAGAAUCUCAGGGCCAGGUGCAGUGGCCCACACCUGUAAUCCCAGCACUUUAGGAGGCCAAGGCGGGUGGAUCACUUGAGGCCAGGAGUUGGAGACCAGCCUGUCCAACAUGGCGAAACACCAUCUCUACUAAAUAUACAAAAAUUAGCUGGGCAUGGUAGCCCGCACCUGUAAUCCCAGGUAUGGAUCAGUGGCUACUAUGUGCCAGAUCUCAGCAAGACAGAGGAGGAUGAAGAGGUUAAUAAGACGCAGGGAUCAUCCUGCUGGAAUGGAAGUCACAGGGGAGGGGCUAAGGGGACCAGGAACAUGGGACAAGGGCACCUGGCACAGCCUGGGGCAGAGUCGCCGCUGAGGAAACAGCUGGGUCAGGCUGGGCCUUCUCUACAUGGUUGCAGGCUGGGCACCAAUAUUUCCUAUGGGCUUUGGGGCUCUGGCAGUCCAGGCGUCUGUGCCUGCACCACCUUAUCUCCUGUUGAAGGGCUCCCCAUCAGCCUGGAACAGGGCAGGUGCCCAUGUGUGCUGAUUGUGCCAUGGUUAGGUCUGAAGCCAGACCGCCUGGUAUUCAAAUCCCACUUCUGUCACUUUCUAACCUGAUGACCUUGGGCAAAUCAUUUUACCUCCCAAAGCUUCAGUUUCUUCAUCUGUAAAAGGGGGAUUAUAAUAACCCCUAACUCAUAGGAUUGUGUGACGGUUCAGUGAUGUAAUAAUAAUUUAGGUAAAGCAUCCAACAGUGCCUGGAACUGUGAAUCAUGAGAGCUACAAAUAGUGUCAUUAUAACCAUCAUCACCAUUGCACUGUCCAAAGAAACUUCUCCGGUGUUGCGAAGGUAGCAGAGGGUGUGACUGGAUGCGGUAAGGGAGGAGAGAGAAUCUGUUAUCCACAAGUCUGUCCUGUCUGGCACAGUUGGCCAAACUAGAGCCCUAAGUCAGGACCUACCCUGGGUCCCCCGGAAGGUAGGGGCAGCAACAAGGUCGUGCCCAUUCGGCUAUUCCCUGCCUCUGUCCUCUGCCUUUCACACUCCAUUUAUUUUUAGGAAAAGGCACAGGUGAGCGACAGCCACUGGGGAGGCCAGGUGAUAAGCAUAUGGUCUUAUGUAUUUCUCUG
rnacentral:lncRNA from 10 species